rnacentral:tRNA from 1 species
AAAAAGAUAGACUAAACAUUAAGUCAUUAGAUUCAUAAUCUAAAAAUAUAACUUUUAUUCUUUUUA